UGGGGAAUAUUGGACAAUGGGCGAAAGCCUGACCCAGCAACGCCGCGUGAAGGAUGAAGUAUUUCGGUAUGUAAACUUCGUAAGAAUAGGAAGAAUAAAUGACGGUACUAUUUGUAAGGUCCGGCUAACUACGUGCCAGCAGCCGCGGUAAUACGUAGGGACCAAGCGUUGUUCGGAUUUACUGGGCGUAAAGAGUUGCGUAGGUGGCAUAGUAAGUAGGUAGUGAAAGCGUGUGGCUCAACCAUACUCACAUUAUCUAAACUGCUAGGCUAGAAUAUAGAAGAGGUAGCUGGAAUUCCCUGUGUAGGAGUGAAAUCCGUAGAUAUAGGGAGGAACACCAAUGGCGUAGGCAGGCUACUGGUCUAUUAUUGACACUAAGGCACGAAAGCGUGGGUAGCAAACGGGAUUAGAUACCCCAGUAGUCCCUGAGCGGGCUGGCAAGGCGCAU
rnacentral:rRNA from 1 species